rnacentral:rRNA from 1 species
GAUUUCUGACGAACCGGAGUGGCCCGUUUUCAUUCUGGAAAUGAGUGCCGCUUUGAGUUUGUCAUCCUUCCAGAGAGCUGCGUCUACCGUUUAUUCGGCCGGAUGUAUGCGAUCUGGAUCUAUUACUUUGAAAAAAUUAGAGUGUUUAAAGCAGGCUUAUGCUGUGAAUACAUUAGCAUGGAAUAAUAAUUUAGGACUUUGGUUCUAUUUUGUUGGUUUCUAGGACUGAAGUAAUGAUUGAUAGGGAUAGUUGGGGGUGCUAGUAUUCAGAGGCCAGAGGUGAAAUUCUUGGAUUCUCUGAAGACUAACUUAUGCGAAAGCAUU